AUUAAUUCGAUGCAACGCGAAGAACCUUACCAAGGCUUGACAUGAACCGGAAAGACCUGGAAACAGGUGCCCCGCUUGCGGUCGGUUUACAGGUGGUGCAUGGUUGUCGUCAGCUCGUGUCGUGAGAUGUUGGGUUAAGUCCCGCAACGAGCGCAACCCUCGUUCUAUGUUGCCAGCACGUGAUGGUGGGGACUCAUAGGAGACUGCCGGGGUCAACUCGGAGGAAGGUGGGGACGACGUCAAAUCAUCAUGCCCCUUAUGUCUUGGGCUUCACGCAUGCUACAAUGGCCGGUACAAAGGGUUGCGAUACUGUGAGGUGGAGCUAAUCCCAAAAAGCCGGUCUCAGUUCGGAUUGGGGUCUGCAACUCGACCCCAUGAAGUCGGAGUCGCUAGUAAUCGCAGAUCAGCAACGCUG
rnacentral:rRNA from 1 species